ACUAGGAGGCAUUCCAUAAUCUGUCAAGAAUGGCUCAGAUUUUAGCCUGAAGAGGGCAUGUUACUUGGUGGAUGUUGGAUCCCUCAAACACAGUGUCCCUGCCUCACCUCCCAUCUGUCGGCCAGCGUGAGAGCCUGCUGUGAGCUUUCUCAGGGGACGUGAAGGAAUCAGGGCUUAUCACCGAGUUGCUAAAAGCUUCACUGGAUUUUCCAUACCUAUGGUAAGGAAAACUCUUCACUUGCUGUUAAGUAUCUGUAAGAGUAGUAGAAACUUUUGGUGGUCUCCUUUGAUCGAUGUUUGAAUCUCCCAAGGUUUAUGAUUUGUGGAACCGAUAUGAAAUUGCCCGUGAUAAACCUCCAGUGAGAAAUUGUGAACAUGAGAGAAAAAUUGCAGUUGUCACUGGAUAUUUCACUUGUCUUCCGAAAUGCUUGCUCAUUUUUGUU